AGAGUUUGAUCCUGGCUCAGGACGAACGCUAGCGGCGCGCUUAACACAUGCAAGUCGAACGCCAACGGUUAACUUCGGUUGACUUAGUAGCGUGGCGGAUGGGUGAGUAUCGCGUGGGUAAUCUGCCUUUAAGCGGGGGAUAAGCUCGGGAAACUGAGUACAAUACCGCAUGUGAUCUGUUUGUCGCAUGACAGACAGAUUAAAGCCUUCGGGCACUUAGAGAUGAGCCCGCGUAUUAUUAGCUUGUUGGUAAGGUAACGGCUUACCAAGGCUACGAUGAUUAGCUGGUCUGAGAGGAUGAUCAGCCACACUGGGACUGAGAUACGGCCCAGACUCCUACGGGAGGCAGCAGUGAGGAAUAUUGCGCAAUGGACGAAAGUCUGACGCAGUGACGCCGCGUGAAUGACGAAGCUUUUAGGAGUGUAAAAUUCUUUUCUGAGGGACGAAUGCUCAUUUCGGUGAGAGGGACGGUACCUCAGGAAUAAGCACCGGCUAACUCCGUGCCAGCAGCCGCGGUAAUACGGAGGGUGCAAGCGUUGUCCGGAUUUACUGGGCGUAAAGGGCGUGUAGGCGGAACGAUCAGUCGGAGGUGAAAUUUACGAGCUUAACUCGUAACGUGCCUUCGAUACUGUCGUUCUUGAGUUCAGGAGGGGGCAAUGGAAUUCCCGGUGUAGCGGUGGAAUGCGCAGAUAUCGGGAGGAACACCGGUGGCGAAGGCGGUUGCCUGGCCUGAAACUGACGCUGAGGCGCGAAAGUGUGGGUAGCAAACAGGAUUAGAUACCCUGGUAGUCCACACCGUAAACGAUGGGUACUAGGUGUCGGAGGAAUCGACCCCUCCGGUGUCGUAGCUAACGCGUUAAGUACCCCGCCUGGGGAGUACGAUCGCAAGGUUGAAACUCAAAGGAAUUGACGGGGCCCCGCACAAGCGGUGGAGCAUGUUGUUUAAUUCGAUGCAACGCGAAGAACCUUACCUGGCCUGGAAUCUAAGCUGCUCAUCCGGUGAAAGCCGGACUCCUUCGAGGGUGCUUAGGAGGUGCUGCAUGGCUGUCGUCAGCUCGUGUCGUGAGAUGUUGGGUUAAGUCCCGCAACGAGCGCAACCCUUACCAUUAGUUGCCAUCAGAUCCUUCGGGAUGCUGGGAACUCUAAUGGGACUGCCUGGGUUAACCAGGAGGAAGGUGGGGAUGACGUCAAGUCCUCAUGGCCCUUACGGCCAGGGCUACAAACGUGCUACAAUGGGUGGUACAAAGGGUUGCAAAACCGCGAGGUCGAGCGAAUCCCAAAAAGCCAUCCUCAGUUCGGAUUGUAGUCUGCAACUCGACUACAUGAAGUCGGAAUCGCUAGUAAUCGCUAAUCAGCAGGUAGCGGUGAAUACGUUCCCGGGGCUUGUACACACCGCCCGUCAAACCAUGGAAGCCGGUAGCACCCGAAGUCACUACGCUAACCGCAAGGAAGCAGGUGCCUAAGGUGAGAUCGGUAACUAGGGUUAAGUCGGAACAAGGUA
rnacentral:rRNA from 1 species